AUCAACUAGGUAAGUUGUUUCCCCCAUUCUUAGUCCCACUGUAGCCAAGAUGUGUGCCGAUUCAUCAUAUUAGAUGGGGAUUGCUUCUGACCCUCAUGCAUCACUCGAUACCUCUCCAGUCAGAUAGCACAAGCUAACACCUUUCAUUGCUCUCUGGAACCCGUCUCUAUCAAAUAAGUUAUCCAUUCCUUAUACUCUAAAUUGCUCACCUCCUGUAGCCAUGUAAUACCCAACUUGUUCCAAAUUUCUUUUGCAGCUAUACAUUCACGAAAAGCAUGCUUAAGAGUUUCAUCGGCGUUUAAGCAUUUGGGGCCCUCUGUUCUAUUCCCAAGUCUCCUAAUAGCUAGAUUACUUAGAGUAGGAAUAAAUUUGUUAAAACUUUGUUUCCACGCCAACUUUGCUUCUUCUUCUUUUUUAAAUAACUUCUCCAUUCUUGAUUUAUCGCAUAAAUAGUAUAAAAAAAAAAGAGAUUUUUUCUGAUUUUUUUAUCGUAGAUAAUACAAAAUUAAUAUUUGAAUUCCUAAAUGGUAUGUCAAUACCAUUAUUGACCGCAUCCGAACGUAUUAAUGUCUAGAGUAUGAAUACUGUAACAAAAGAUAUAUAAAUGAGGCGAUGUCUACAAGUAUACGAGUCAAGUUAUAAUAUGAUUACAACAAAGUAAGUAAGUACUCCGAGAAUUGUAUUCAAUGGAUUACAAUUUGGGGAAAAUUGUUAUCAAACCAAUUACCGAAAAUAAUUACUAAUCUACUUUUGAGUCAUGAAUUAGUAGUGUUAAUAUGGAAGUAAGAUGAUGAUAAUAUUAAUAAACUAAAUAAAUUUAAUUAAACUUAAAUCUACUCUUAAAUUUAUGUAUCGACUUCUCAUAUCCUUUAUUUCGACUAUACGAGUUCCUUUAGCCUAGAUUCAAUUGUUUCGUCUAAUUAAAUAUUGAUGUAGAGCUCUGAUCAGUCAACUAGUCAUUACCCUAGUAGAAUCUUUCGGUACGUCCACUAGAAUAAUGAGUCGGUAAUAACUACUUAUCUCUCGACCUCACAAUCCAGACUGGUGCAGGGCUAAGGUGUUCAUGGAUAGGCCAUAUCAAUUUUGGGUUAAUUUCCACCUAAAUGACUUCUUAGGGUCAUCAAGCCUAGGUUGAAGUUCUUCCUCUCCCAAACAGCUAAUCCGAUAAGAAAAUCCUACCUUUCAAUCAAUUAAUAAGAUUAAUACAUUUUAAACCUAUGAAAUAUAGAUAAAAUAUAAAUUGAUUAUAAUCUUUACACAAACAUUCAACUAGCAAUGUUAAGAAAGAGAUAUAAAGAAUAGAAUAAGGGAAAGAGAUGCUCAUGGAUUUAUUGAUGAAAGCGUAGCUCUGUUACAAUCUCCACUCCCAAAAGUCUCACUUCGGAAUAGGAUUCUCCGGCUACAAUAAUAUAAAAUAACCUAAGUAAAAACUAAAAACAAAAUAGAAACCUUAAGCAUAUUUUUUGUCUCCCUAAAAUUGUAUGUUUAAGCUGAUUACAAUAGUCUUUAUUUAGGCUAAACUAGAAAUAUUAAAGUGCCUAAAAUAUUCUUGAAGUCCUUAGUUAGUUUGAGAUUUUUAACAACAUUUUUACAUGUUUUAUAUAUUUUGUGUAGAAAAAAUAUUAUUUAAUGUUAUUUGAAUGAAUUAGAUUUAAAGAUCGCAUGUUGAAUUUUUCGUAUGUAUAAUAAAAUAAAAAAAUUAUUUUUGUAAUUGUAAUUUUUUUGUGAACCAAACUAUUUAGUAUUUUUGUAAUGAUAUAAUUUUGAUAUUAUUUUUCUAUUAAGUUGAUUUGCAUUCUUUUGUAUUAUCUUUACAUGUUUUGGUAAUAAUUGAAAAUGUUUAAACUUUAAUUUAUUUUUUUCAAACUGCAGAUAUCCAAGUAGGUUCUUUGAUCACAGAAGAUGAUUACACAACAAAUAAGAUUAAUGUGAUGAUAAUAAAAUUUGUAUAUAUUGACUUUUUUUUAUUUAAUUGUGAUAUAUUAAGUAAUGUAAUAAUUUAAUUGGGAUGUAUUAACUAUUACAGUAAUUUAAUAUGGUCAG
rnacentral:lncRNA from 1 species